rnacentral:rRNA from 1 species
CAGCCGCCGCGGUAAUACCGGCGGCCCGAGUGGCGGUCACUAUUAUUGGGCUUAAAGCGUCCGUAGCCGGGUUGGGAAGUCCUCCGGGAAAUCUGGCCGCUUAACGGUCAGAAUGCCGGAGGAUACUCCCAGCCUAGGGAGCGGGAGAGGCCGAGGGUAUUCCCGGAGUAGGGGUGAAAUCCUAUAAUCUCGGGAGGACCACCUGUGGCGAAGGCGCUCGGCUGGAACGCGUCCGACGGUGAGGGACGAAGGCCAGGGGAGCAAACCGGAUUAGAUACCCGGGUAGUCCUGGCUGUAAACGAUGCGGACUUUGUGUCGGACAAGCUAUGAGCUUGUCCGGUGCCGGAGGGAAACCGUUAAGUCCGCCGCCUGGGGAGUACGGCCGCAAGGCUGAAACUUAAAGGAAUUGGCGGG